AGGACCAUACUUAUAGGGAUCCUUUCUAUAGUUCUUGACUAGGGAAUGUGUUUCUAAAGUGUUGUCUUGCUACCCACGAUGACGAGUUGCGAUGUUUCUUUCUGAGCGCGAAUCGGAUAGAAGGCUUUGGGUCAAACCAUGCGCCUUCUAUCAUUGAUGAACGUUCCUGUUGCCUUUGGUGUCGGGAGGAAAGGGACGUGAUCCGAGUGGU